AUGGGAGUGGAGAAGCCUCAUGACAGCCUGCAAGACAAGGGAGCUUCGUCCCCCCUGGUUUACAGCUGUCCUAAGUGCCUGCAGGUCUUCAAGAAUGCUUUCUGUCUCAAGGGUCAUGGCCUGUCCCACUUGGAUGUCCAGCACGGCAUCUCCAGCAUGGGUCUCACAUUUGGGAUUCUGGCCCUGAGUGUGCGGCCCCUGCAGAAAGACCUCCACGCCUUCCACCAGCCCCAGCCCCUGCUGGCUGACCCGCCCUGGGUGGCGUCGGGGCCGGGCGCGGGGCGGCCCGUGGAGGUGACCGCACGGCGCUGGGCUCCCGGCGGCGCCCUGAGGGAUCCCGGCCCGCAAGAGCCGCGCGCACCCGGGAGCCACGGCAUCGCCCACUCGGAGCGCGUGGAGCCUGCAAGCGCUGCAGUGAGGCUUCGCUUCGUUCGUGCACCGGCCCGGCUGGGUGGCCCCGGCCCGCCGGCUCUGUCCUGGAGUCCGAAGGAUGCUCAGCGCCUGACCCAGCACGUGCAGGCUGAAGGGAACUUGCUGGAGGGCGGAGAGGCCACGAGGCGCAGCGGGCGCCCCAAGUGCGUGUCCCCAGGUAGCUGCCGCGCCGCUGCGAGUCGCAUCUGCAGCCCGGCCUUCAAGCGCUCCAGCCACCUGGCGCGGCCCCGCACGAAGCUCCAGGCGCGGCCUGUGGGUGGACCCACUUGCACCGAACGCUGCCUUGGUUUCCCCCUGCGCACCGCGCUCUGCGUGAGCGUUUCCGGACGGUGCCCUUUUCCAGAGACGCCGCCGCCCCUCGCGCCCCCGCGCCCGCGCCCCCCGCGCCCGCGUCCCCGGCGCCGCCGGCCCGGAGCUCCCGGAAGCCUCGGUCCCGCCGCCGCCGGCACUCGCGAGGGGAAGCCCGGGCCGCCCGGGACCUCGGCCCGCUCCUCCGGUCCCGAGAGGCCGCCGCAUCGGCUGACACCCCAGAUGCUGCUGCUGCCGCCUCGGCCACCCCACCCUCGGUCCUCCUCCCCAGAGGCCAUGGACCCACCGCCCCCCAAGGCUCCCCCUUUCCCCAAGACGGAAGGCCCUUCCUCCACUCCAUCCUCGGCGGCAGGGCCCCGGCCUCCGCGGCUGGGCCGCCACCUGCUCAUCGACGCCAACGGGGUGCCCUACACAUACACGGUGCAGCUGGAGGAGGAGCCCCGGGGCCCACCCCAGCGCGAGGCAGCGCCGGGAGAACCCGGGCCGCGCAAGGGCUACAGCUGCCCGGAGUGCGCUCGCGUCUUUGCCAGCCCUCUGCGGCUGCAGAGCCACCGCGUGUCGCACUCGGACCUCAAGCCCUUCACGUGCGGCGCCUGCGGCAAGGCCUUCAAGCGCUCCAGCCACCUGUCGCGGCACCGCGCCACGCACCGCGCGCGCGCAGGCCCGCCGCACACCUGCCCGCUCUGCCCACGUCGCUUCCAGGACGCCGCGGAGCUGGCGCAGCACGUGCGCCUGCACUGAGUUCCAGACCCUCGGGGCCUCGCGAGCCACACAGCGUCACUCCCACACGCGCUCCCUGCCUUACCCGGGGCCUCCGUUUCUCCAUCCGCCCAAAGGGAGAAACACCAGCCCUUCCUUACCUUCCUAGCUGUGUGAUGUAGACCAAGCCGUUGCCCCUCCCUGGGCCUGGGAGCCAGUCUCGGAGCUGGGUUCCGGCCCGGCUGUGCUGCGCGAGCCUUUGCAGGAGACAACGUCUCUGAGCCUUGGUCUUCGGCUCCGAAGUGGUGAACGGUUGUGUGCGCGGUAGAUUUGACAAAAGAGCACGGCGCGGUCUGGCUCAUUUCUGUAUCUCCCCCUUUCCACCCACAGCCCUCACCCCUUACUCAAUAAACAUUCCGCACUCCAC